rnacentral:rRNA from 1 species
CCUACGGGGGGCAGCAGUAGGGAAUUUUGCGCAAUGGGCGAAAGCCUGCCGCAGCAACGCCUCGUGAUCGAGACGCCCUUCGGGGUGUAAAGAUCUGUCAGUGGGGACGAAACUUGACGGUACCCACAGAGGAAGCACCGGCUAACUCCGUACCAGCAGCCGCGGUAAUACGGGGGGUGCCAGCGUUGUCCGGAAUCAUUGGGCGUAAGGAGUUCGUAGGCGGCACGUAAAGUCUGGUGUUAAAGGAAGAGGCUCAACUUCUGUACGGGACUGGAUACUUGCGAGCUAGAGUGCGGUAGAGGGAAAGGGAAUUCCUGGUGUAGCGGUGAAAUGCUUAGAGAUCAGGAGGAACAUCGGUGGCGUAAGCGCUUUACUGGGCCGUAAUUGACGCUGAGGAACGAAAGCCAGGGUAGCAAAUGGGAUUAGAUACCCUUGUAGUC